AGCAGCCGCGGUAAUUCCAGCUCCAAUAGCGUAUAUUAAAGUUGUUGCAGUUAAAAAGCUCGUAGUUGAAUUUCGGGGUCAGUAGGUUGGUCAUGCCUUUGGUAUGUACUGGUCUCACUGAUUCCUCCCUCUUGAAGAACUGUAAUGUCAUUAAUUUGGUGUUGCGGGGAAUCAGGACUGUUACUUUGAAAAAAUUAGAGUGUUUAAAGCAGGCUUACGCUUGAAUACAUUAGCAUGGAAUAAUGAAAUAGGACGUUUGAUCCUAUUUUGUUGGUUUCUAGGAUUGACGUAAUGAUUAAUAGGGAUAGUUGGGGGCAUUAGUAUUCAAUUGUCAGAGGUGAAAUUCUUGGAUUUAUUGAAGACUAACUACUGCGAAAGCAUUUUGCCAAGGAUGUUUUCAUUAAUCAAGAACGAAAGUUAGGGGAUCGAAGACGAUCAGAUACCGUCGUAGUCUUAACCAUAAACUAUGCCGACUAGGGAUCGGAUGAUGUUAAUUUUUUAAUGACUCAUUCGGCGCCUU
rnacentral:rRNA from 1 species